AUUUAACAAAUGACAACCCUAUUGGUUGUGAACAAAUUGCUGCAUGUGGAGGACUUGAAACUAUGUCUUCUUUGAUUGCUGGUCACUUCCCUUCAUUCAGCUCAUCUUUACCUUCCUUCAGUGAGAUGAAAGAGUAUUCCACAAGUGUUGAACUUGAAAAGCAGAAUGAUAAUCAUCUUACUGAUCAAGAGUUGGAUUUCCUUGUUGCUAUAUUGGG
rnacentral:misc_RNA from 1 species